rnacentral:rRNA from 1 species
CCAAGGGUUCCUGUCCAACGUUAAUCGGGGCAGGGUGAGUCGACCCCUAAGGCGAGGCCGAAAGGCGUAGUCGAUGGGAAACGGGUUAAUAUUCCCGUACUUGGUGUUACUGCGAAGGGGGGACGGAGAAGGCUAUGUUGGCCGGGCGACGGUUGUCCCGGUUUAAGCGUGUAGGUGUGUGUUCCAGGUAAAUCCGGUUCACUUUAACACUGAGGCGUGACGACGAGGCACUACGGUGCUGAAGCAACAAAUGCCCUGCUUCCAGGAAAAGCCUCUAAGCAUCAGGUAACAUCAAAUCGUACCCCAAACCGACACAGGUGGUCAGGUAGAGAAUACCAAGGCGCUUGAGAGAACUCGGGUGAAGGAACUAGGCAAAAUGGUGCCGUAACUUCGGGAGAAGGCACGCUGACACGUAGGUGAAGUGAUUUACUCAUGGAGCUGAAGUCAGUCGAAGAUACCAGCUGGCUGCAACUGUUUAUUAAAAACACAGCACUGUGCAAACACGAAAGUGGACGUAUACGGUGUGACGCCUGCCCGGUGCCGGAAGGUUAAUUGAUGGGGUCAGCGCAAGCGAAGCUCCUGAUCGAAGCCCCGGUAAACGGCGGCCGUAACUAUAACGGUCCUAAGGUAGCGAAAUUCCUUGUCGGGUAAGUUCCGACCUGCACGAAUGGCGUAAUGAUGGCCAGGCUGUCUCCACCCGAGACUCAGUGAAAUUGAACUCGCUGUGAAGAUGCAGUGUACCCGCGGCAAGACGGAAAGACCCCGUGAACCUUUACUAUAGCUUGACACUGAACAUUGAGCCUUGAUGUGUAGGAUAGGUGGGAGGCUUUGAAGUGUGGACGCCAGUCUGCAUGGAGCCGACCUUGAAAUACCACCCUUUAAUGUUUGAUGUUCUAACGUGGACCCGUGAUCCGGGUUGCGGACAGUGUCUGGUGGGUAGUUUGACUGGGGCGGUCUCCUCCUAAAGAGUAACGGAGGAGCACGAAGGUUGGCUAAUCCUGGUCGGACAUCAGGAGGUUAGUGCAAUGGCAUAAGCCAGCUUGACUGCGAGCGUGACGGCGCGAGCAGGUGCGAAAGCAGGUCAUAGUGAUCCGGUGGUUCUGAAUGGAAGGGCCAUCGCUCAACGGAUAAAAGGUACUCCGGGGAUAACAGGCUGAUACCGCCCAAGAGUUCAUAUCGACGGCGGUGUUUGGCACCUCGAUGUCGGCUCAUCACAUCCUGGGGCUGAAGUAGGUCCCAAGGGUAUGGCUGUUCGCCAUUUAAAGUGGUACGCGAGCUGGGUUUAGAACGUCGUGAGACAGUUCGGUCCCUAUCUGCCGUGGGCGCUGGAGAACUGAGGGGGGCUGCUCCUAGUACGAGAGGACCGGAGUGGACGCAUCACUGGUGUUCGGGUUGUCAUGCCAAUGGCACUGCCCGGUAGCUAAAUGCGGAAGAGAUAAGUGCUGAAAGCAUCUAAGCACGAAACUUGCCCCGAG